GUUUGGAUAACAAAUGUUGAUCCUGGGCCGCGUCCAGAGUGAUAUCUUCACUGAUGGCGAGUCCCAUUAGGAGGGGAUGGAAAUGAAAGGUGAUGCAACGUGGAGCCGGUCGUGCUACCUCCUGGUGCCUCUCGUUGGCGGAUGCAGCUGCUGCCCUCGGAAUUUGGUGAUCACCUCCAGAGCAUGGACGUCCAAUGCUCAUGACUGCCCCAGGCCCUGGAGGCUGAGGGACUCGGGCUGAUGUCCAGUGCGAGAGCUCUCGCCCAUUCAUGAGACAAAGCUUCUGGUGACGUGAAGUGUGUGACA